AUUGAACGCUGGCGGCAUGCCUUACACAUGCAAGUCGAACGGCAGCACGGGGCAACCUGGUGGCGAGUGGCGAACGGGUGAGUAAUGCAUCGGAACGUACCUUUCAGUGGGGGAUAACGUAGCGAAAGUUACGCUAGUACCGCAUAUUCUGUGAGCAGGAAAGCAGGGGAUAGCAAGACCUUGCGCUGAUUGAGCGGCCGAUGUCAGAUUAGCUAGUUGGUGAGGUAAAGGCUCACCAAGGCGACGAGCUGUAGCGGGUCUGAGAGGAUGAUCCGCCACACUGGAACUGAGACACGGUCCAGACUCCUACGGGAGGCAGCAGUGGGGAAUUUUGGACAAUGGGGGCAACCCUGAUCCAGCCAUGCCGCGUGAGUGAAGAAGGCCUUCGGGUUGUAAAGCUCUUUCGGCCGGGAAGAAAUCGCACGGGCUAAUACCCUGUGUGGAUGACGGUACCAGAAUAAGAAGCACCGGCUAACUACGUGCCAGCCGCCGCUGUAAUAC
rnacentral:rRNA from 1 species